rfam:Pseudomonas hussainii strain JCM 19513 genome assembly, contig: Ga0104663_112
AAGAUCCCGCGCCCUUUUCCUUGGCUUUUGGGUCUGGGAUUGCUGUCACUUGGAGUUAACUGAAUGGCCCGUAUUGCUGGCGUCAACAUUCCAGAU